UUUUUUUUUUUUUUUUAUAAUAAAUAGUAAACUAGACAGUAUAUAUUUUAAAGGCAUAAUGAAAAUUUUGACUGGGAAAACGAAAGAAAUUUUGAAAGAGGUUAGAACACAAGUUGAAAGGUUUUUGAAAGUUUGUGGAAGCUAUGGAAAUUUGGAUUGAAUUUAGGUUCUGAUGCCAAAAUUGAUGUAAAACAAAGGGAAAAAAAAUCAAGAAGAAGAGAAAUCAAGGACCAAUCCUUAAAAAAGAGAGAACUAAUUCUCGAUAAUUUUAUUUAAUCUCAAUAAU
rnacentral:misc_RNA from 1 species